AUUGAACGCUGGCGGCAUGCGUUACACAUGCAAGUCGAACGGUAACAGCUCUUCGGAGGCUGACGAGUGGCGAACGGGUGAGUAAUACAUCGGAACGUGCCCGAUCGUGGGGGAUAACGGAGCGAAAGCGUGGCUAAUACCGCAUACGAUCUACGGAAGAAAGCAGGGGACCCUCGGGCCUUGCGCGAACGGAGCGGCCGAUGGCAGAUUAGGUAGUUGGUGGGAUAAAGCUUACCAAGCCGACGAUCUGUAGCUGGUCUGAGAGGACGACCAGCCACACUGGGACUGAGACACGGCCCAGACUCCUACGGGAGGCAGCAGUGGGGAAUUUUGGACAAUGGGCGAAAGCCUGAUCCAGCAAUGCCGCGUGCAGGAUGAAGGCCUUCGGGUUGUAAACUGCUUUUGUACGGAACGAAAAGUCCCGGGCUAAUACCCUGGGACCAUGACGGUACCGUAAGAAUAAGCACCGGCUAACUACGUGCCAGCCGCCGCCGUAACAC
rnacentral:rRNA from 1 species